rnacentral:lncRNA from 1 species
AAAAGUUAAUACACAGCAAUAAUGUAAAAUAUUUCAAAACCAAAAUUGAACAUUGGUAGUAAUUUUUGGGUAAGAAUAUCAAUGAAAACUUUCUUGUUCUUGUGCACUACUUGAAAAUAUCUGAUAAUACAACAUCAUCUUUUUAGGGUUUAGGGUUUAGGGUAAAAUGUUCCAACUUCGGAUCCAAGAUUUCAAAAAAAAAUAUUUGUUAGUGUACAACGGCAGUUGGAUUGUAUUUAAGUACGAAGAUUUUUUAUAAAUAGGAUAUUAAAAAAUUGUUUAUUUAAAGAUA